rnacentral:rRNA from 1 species
GACGAACGCUGGCGGCGUGCUUAACACAUGCAAGUCGAACGGAAAGGCCCUGCUUUUGUGGGGUGCUCGAGUGGCGAACGGGUGAGUAACACGUGAGUAACCUGCCCUUGACUUUGGGAUAACUUCAGGAAACUGGGGCUAAUACCGGAUAGGAGCUCCUGCUGCAUGGUGGGGGUUGGAAAGUUUCGGCGGUUGGGGAUGGACUCGCGGCUUAUCAGCUUGUUGGUGGGGUAGUGGCUUACCAAGGCUUUGACGGGUAGCCGGCCUGAGAGGGUGACCGGCCACAUUGGGACUGAGACACGGCCCAGACUCCUACGGGAGGCAGCAGUGGGGAAUAUUGCACAAUGGGCGGAAGCCUGAUGCAGCAACGCCGCGUGCGGGAUGACGGCCUUCGGGUUGUAAACCGCUUUCGCCUGUGACGAAGCGUGAGUGACGGUAAUGGGUAAAGAAGCACCGGCUAACUACGUGCCAGCAGCCGCGGUGAUACGUAGGGUGCGAGCGUUGUCCGGAUUUAUUGGGCGUAAAGGGCUCGUAGGUGGUUGAUCGCGUCGGAAGUGUAAUCUUGGGGCUUAACCCUGAGCGUGCUUUCGAUACGGGUUGACUUGAGGAAGGUAGGGGAGAAUGGAAUUCCUGGUGGAGCGGUGGAAUGCGCAGAUAUCAGGAGGAACACCAGUGGCGAAGGCGGUUCUCUGGGCCUUUCCUGACGCUGAGGAGCGAAAGCGUGGGGAGCGAACAGGCUUAGAUACCCUGGUAGUCCACGCUGUAAACGGUGGGUACUAGGUGUGGGGUCCAUUCCACGGGUUCCGUGCCGUAGCUAACGCUUUAAGUACCCCGCCUGGGGAGUACGGCCGCAAGGCUAAAACUCAAAGGAAUUGACGGGGCCCCGCACAAGCGGCGGAGCAUGCGGAUUAAUUCGAUGCAACGCGUAGAACCUUACCUGGGUUUGACAUGGAUCGGGAGCGCUCAGAGAUGGGUGUGCCUCUUUUGGGGUCGGUUCACAGGUGGUGCAUGGCUGUCGUCAGCUCGUGUCGUGAGAUGUUGGGUUAAGUCCCGCAACGAGCGCAACCCUUGUUCACUGUUGCCAGCACGUUAUGGUGGGGACUCAGUGGAGACCGCCGGGGUCAACUCGGAGGAAGGUGGGGAUGACGUCAAGUCAUCAUGCCCCUUAUGUCCAGGGCUUCACGCAUGCUACAAUGGCUGGUACAGAGAGUGGCGAGCCUGUGAGGGUGAGCGAAUCUCGGAAAGCCGGUCUCAGUUCGGAUUGGGGUCUGCAACUCGACCUCAUGAAGUCGGAGUCGCUAGUAAUCGCAGAUCAGCAACGCUGCGGUGAAUACGUUCCCGGGGCU